rfam:Fusibacter sp. 3D3 DNA, contig: 64.
UGCUCCAUCCAUUUGGAGUAACCCUAUCUACAGGUGCGUCACUGGUAACGGUGGGUUGCUAAGCUGUAGAGACAAUGUGAAAAUUCUGCCAGCCUAAAGUGGAUGAUUGC